rnacentral:rRNA from 1 species
UACAGAGGUCUCAAGCGUUGUUCGGAUUCAUUGGGCGUAAAGGGUGCGUAGGCGGCGCGGUAAGUCGGGUGUGAAAUCUCGGAGCUUAACUCCGAAACUGCAUUCGAUACUGCCGUGCUUGAGGACUGGAGAGGAGACUGGAAUUUACGGUGUAGCGGUGAAAUGCGCAGAUAUCAGGAGGAACACCGGUGGCGAAGGCGGGUCUCUGGACAGUUCCUGACACUGAGACACGAAGGCCAGGGGAGCAAACGGG